rnacentral:rRNA from 1 species
UACGUAGGGACCGAGCGUUGUCCGGAUUUACUGGGCGUAAAGAGCGCGCAGGCGGUCGUUCAAGUCGCGUGUGAAAGCCCCCGGCUCAACUGGGGAGGGUCACGCGAUACUGAUCGACUCGAAGGCAGGAGAGGGUAGUGGAAUUCCCGGUGUAGUGGUGAAAUGCGUAGAUAUCGGGAGGAACACCAGUGGCGAAGGCGACUACCUGGCCUGUUCUUGACGCUGAGGCGCGAAAGCUAGGGGAGCAAACGGG